UAUUUUAAGAGAGAGAAAAAGGAACUGACUAAAUUUUGAGAGAAACUCAUGAAGAGAGGGAAUGUGAGCUGCCGAAGAGACAGAAAGAGCGCAAAAACAGAGCCGCUGAUUCACAUUAUGCAAAACCAGCAUAGUUGUUCUCUCUACUCUGAAAACUAAAACCCCAUUUCCGUUUACCUCAUUUUUUUGCUCCCAUGGCUAAAAAAGACGAGAAGGAAGAAAAGAAACCCACAAAGGCCACUGAACCAGAAAUCUCAGAAGAAGAAGAAGAAGAGGAGGAAGAAGAGGAAGAAAGCGAGGAUGAAGAAGAGGAGGAAGAGGAUUAUGAAGAAGAAGGGGAAGAGAGAGAAAGUAGAGAGACAUUAAAUGGAAGGGGUAUGGGAGGAGAAGAGCGGAAGUUGCAGGAGCUUGUGCAAAGGCUACAAAGGGGGAAAGUCGCCAUUAGAGUCCAUGACAUAGUCAUCAAAGGGAAUGAGAAGACUAAGGAUUGGUUGAUAGAGAGAGAGGUUGAGGAGGCUUUGAGAAAGGCAGGUAGUGUUCAGGAGCUUCUUCAAGCUGCUGGUUUAGCGAAUGCGAAAUUGCAGAGGCUUGAUAUUUUCGACUCUGUGUUGAUAACCCUAGACAGUGGGCCUCCUGAGCUACCUGGAACCACAAAUGUGAUCAUAGAGGUUAAGGAGAGCCGACCCCUCUCUGGUGAUUUGGGUAUAUACUCAAGACCGGAGGCUCGAUCUUGGUCCUUGGAAGGAUCAUUGAAGUUGAAGAACGUUCUUGGGUUUGGUGACAUUUGGGAUACUUCUAUUGCUUAUGGUUGGGAUCAGAGUCAAACUGCAGAGAUAAGCACAGGCCUACUUUUGCCUCAAUUCAAAGGAUGGGCAGCCCCUGUAGUGGCCAGAUUAUCAGUGCUUUCUCAAGAUUGGUUGAAAUUUUCUUCUUACAAAGAACAGCUCAUGGGUCUUUCGAUUGGUUUGGUUUCAACAAGAAACCAUGAUUUGUCCUACAAUCUUACAUGGCGCACACUAACUGAUCCUUCUCAUAUAUCCUCCAAAUCAAUAAGGAGGCAUCUAGGGCAUAGUCUUCUCUCAUCUUUGAAGUACACAUUCAAGAUUGACAGGAGGGACUCUUCAUUGAGGCCAAAUCGUGGAUUUGCUUUUGUUUCCACAUCUCAUAUUGGUGGUCUUGCGCCUGAUAGCCGGAUCCUUCGAUAUAUACGCCAGGAGUUCGAUCUUCGCUAUGCUAUCCCCCUCCAAUUCUUCAAUGCAGCUUUAAACUUGGGCAUCUCGACUGGAGUUGUCACACCUUGGGGAAAUGGGUUCUUGCAACGACCCUCCCCUUUGUUCGAGAGAUUCUUCAUAGGGGGCCACUCCUCUCCAAUGGGCACCCUAAAUGGGCCUACCUCUUUGCUAGGAUUUAAGACAAGAGGGUUGGGUCCCACUGAGCCCCGAAGGCUAAUCACCAACGCAUCCAAUAGGGAAGAGCCAGCAAAUGAAGUUGGAAGGGAUGUAGUUGGAGGUGACCUUGCUGUUACUGCCUUCGCAGACAUCUCCUUUGAUUUACCAGUUAAGAUCCUUAAGGACAUGGGGAUCCAUGGCCAUGUGUUUGCAUCGGCAGGGAACCUUGUGAAACUAACAGAGAAUGAAUUUCAAAAGUUUUCACUCCAAAAGUUUGGAGAAACAUUUCGAAGCUCUGCUGGUGGUGGUAUUAUCAUCCCGACAAAGUUGUUCCGCAUGGAGGUGUGCAAGAAACUUGGAGGCUUGGAACAGUGACUGGAUCCAUCUUGUUUAUUUUAUAGUUGUUUAAGUGACUAUUUCUGUAGGCCAUUUUACUAAAAUGCCCUUCCUUGUCCUUAAGGAGCUGGGAUAAAAGAGUUAUGUCGGAAAUAGAAUAAGGGGCCCAGCACUGGUUUGAGCUUCUAAUUUUCUAGGUCACCUGCACAAUUUAUGCAGGUGUUUCAAUCAUUGUUUUGAUUUUAUACCUUGUUCAAAGAGCUUGUGAAAAUAUUGUGAUGCACUUAAAAGAAGAAAUUUUUGCUUUGUAAUGGAAGUUGUUUCCCUUUUUUGCAUAUUUUGGAAAAAAAGUAUUAUGCUUAAAUGUGAAAUAUAAUUAUACAAGAAGUUAGGAAUUUGAAGAAAAAUCAAUUCAAAGGGAGUCUCCUUUUUUAAAAUAUAAGGAAAUUUCCCAAAUUAUAAGGGAGUUUUCUUUGAAUUCCUUUUUUUUUCUUUUUUUCUUUUUUUAAAUUUUCUUAAAUAAACGUUGUCCUCACAAUAUAUUGAGAAAACAAUUUGGAAACUCUCAGAGUAAACUUCCUUCCUGAGGAUGAGAUUUGUCUCUAUGAUUUCACCUUAUCAUACAUUCUGAACAAGCUGAAUUUUUAGGAAGUAUACCAUAUCUCAAUGCGGUGUUCUAUACGAUUCACAAAAAGGGGCAUGAACAAUCCAACUGUGUCCAUGGAUGGUGGAUUCUAAGCAUCUUUCCUGAUGUCAGGCACUUCUAUGGGAGUGGUUGAUUACCACUGCGUACCAAGAACCAAUGCAGGAUGCCCCUGUUGUGUGUCAUAUAGCCUACAUUCGUGAAUGAUAAAUUACUGUUACAUAUUGAAGCAACUUGAACAUGACCGGGGGAAAACUGGCAUACAGUUCAGCUUCU